rnacentral:lncRNA from 1 species
UGCUUACCUUGAAAGGUGGAGUAUAUGUUAGAGAUCUGAUGUAGUCAUUUGGCAGAAAGAGAGUCCAGCAUUACCUUAGUAAAUAUUACCUAGGUGAAAACAAUUCUCAGAAUUGUUAAGGCUAUAAAAGCAACAUAAGUGAAUACGGCGCCAAAAUUAUUAAUAUCAAGUUACAGGAAAGUCAUUAAGAAUAUUCAACAGUGGAAGUAACAAUGUAACUUGACUUCUUAACAGAAAUUAUGUAUAGAUACGAAAUGUUGCUCCAAAAAAAAAAAAAAAGGGUACUAUAGAGCAUCUAUCUGAAAACAGGUAAGUUUUGUACUUCAUGGAAUUAUGGGCUGCCUGAAUGGAAGUAGAAACCUAAUAAUUAAACCCCUAAUUGUGAAAGGAGCCCUUGCUGGAAAAUAAAUCAAAUGCUGUUGUAUUUAGAUAAAGUAGUUCUGCAAUGAUUUUUUAUUUUAUUUUAAAUGGGAUUCUGCAAUGAAAUGUUUACGCUGUCAACAACAGAUACCAUCUGAAAACAUCUUCAAUUCUAGCCAGAUGAAGAUGUAUAUUACCCCAAAAUAUAAUGUUUUUUAAACUAGGAAAAUAAAUCAAAUGCUGUUGUAUUUAGAUA